rnacentral:rRNA from 1 species
GACGAACCGUGCGAACGUUAUUCGGAAUCACUGGGCUUAAAGCGCGUGUAGGCGGGACGGCACGUCGGUCGCUGAAAGCCCCCGGCUCAACCGGGGAACGGGCGCCGAUACGACCGCCCUGGAGGGACGUAGGGGGACCUGGAACAUCCGGUGGAGCGGUGAAAUGCGUUGAGAUCGGAUGGAACGCCCGUGGCGAAAGCGAGGUCCUGGACGUUUUCUG